CCUGGCUCAGGAUGAACGCUGGCAGUAUGCUUUACACAUGCAAGUCGUACGGGAGUUUUUAACUCAAGUGGCGGACGGGUGAGUAACACGUAAGAAUUUGCCUUUAGGAGGGGGAUAACAACUGGAAACGGUUGCUAAUACCCCAUAUGCUUUCGAGUGAAAUGGAUUUCCGCCUAAAGAGAAGCUUGCGGCUGAUUAGCUUGUUGGUAAGGUAAUGGCUUACCAAGGCGACGAUCAGUAUCUGGUUUGAGAGGACGAUCAGACACACUGGAACUGAGACACGGUCCAGACUCCUACGGGAGGCAGCAGUGGGGAAUAUUGCACAAUGGGCGCAAGCCUGAUGCAGCGACGCCGCGUGAGGGAUGACGGCCUUCGGGUUGUAAACCUCUUUCAGUAGGGAAGAA
rnacentral:rRNA from 1 species